CAGCAGCCGCGAGAAUACGGAGGGUGCAAGCGUUAAUCGGAAUUACUGGGCGUAAAGCGCACGCAGGCGGUCUGACAAGUCAGAUGUGAAAUCCCCGGGCUUAACCUGGGAACUGCAUUUGAAACUGUCAGGCUGGAGUCUUGUAGAGGGGGGUGGAAUUCCAGGUGUAGCGGUGAAAUGCGUAGAGAUCUGGAGGAAUACCGGUGGCGAAGGCGGCCCCCUGGACAAAGACUGACGCUCAGGUGCGAAAGCGUGGGGAGCAAACAGGAUUAGAUACCCGUGUAGUCCCUGUCUCUUAUAC
rnacentral:rRNA from 1 species